UACGUAGGGCGCAAGCGUUGUCCGGAAUUAUUGGGCGUAAAGAGCUCGUAGGUGGUGUGUCGCGUCUGCCGUGAAAGCCCGGGGCUUAACUCCGGGUCUGCGGUGGAUACGGGCAGACUAGAGGCAGGUAGGGGAGAACGGAAUCCCGGUGUAGCGGUGAAAUGCGCAGAUAUCGGGAGGAACACCGGUGGCGAAGGCGGUUCUCUGGGCCUG
rnacentral:rRNA from 1 species